rnacentral:rRNA from 1 species
GACGAACGCUGGCGGCGUGCCUAAUACAUGCAAGUAGAACGCAGUUGCGAACGGGUGAGUAACACGUAGGUAACUGCCUCAUAGCGGGGGAAAACCAUUGGAAACGAUAGCUAAUACCGCCUACAUUGGGAUGGACCGGCGUUGUAUUUGCUAGUUGGUGAGGUAAAGGCUCACCAAGGCGACGGUACAUAGCCGACCUGUGAGGGAGAUCGACCAAACUGGGACUGGGACACGGGCCAGGCUCCCACGGGAGGGAGCAGGAGGGAAAUAUCGGAAAUGGACGGCAAGCUGACCGAGCAAAUGCGGGUGGGUGAAGAAGGUUUUCGGAUCGUAAAGCUAUGUUGUUAGAGAAGCGGUAACUACACAGAAAGGGACGGCUAACUACGUGCCAGCAGCCGCGGUAAUUC